ACAAUCAUAUCACGUUCAAGCACCGGUUCCCGUACGAUCACCGAAGUUAAGCAACGUCGAGUCUGGGCAGUACCAAGAUAGGCGACCGCUUGGGUAAUACCAGGUGCUAUA